UUAAUUGAAGCCAAAGGGAGAGGCAGCUUAAUGUUAAUAAGUUAAAUGAUAAAAUAUUAUCCAAUUAAA
rnacentral:tRNA from 1 species